AUUGAACGCUGGCGGCAUGCCUUACACAUGCAAGUCGAACGGUAACAGGUCUUCGGAUGCUGACGAGUGGCGAACGGGUGAGUAAUACAUCGGAACGUGCCCGAUCGUGGGGGAUAACGAAGCGAAAGCUUUGCUAAUACCGCAUACGAUCUACGGAUGAAAGCAGGGGACCGCAAGGCCUUGCGCGAACGGAGCGGCCGAUGGCAGAUUAGGUAGUUGGUGGGAUAAAAGCUUACCAAGCCGACGAUCCGUAGCUGGUCUGAGAGGACGACCAGCCACAGUGGGACUGAGACACGGCCCAGACUCCUACGGGAGGCAGCAGUGGGGAAUUUUGGACAAUGGGCGAAAGCCUGAUCCAGCCAUGCCGCGUGCAGGAUGAAGGCCUUCGGGUUGUAAACUGCUUUUGUACGGAACGAAAAGACUCUGGUUAAUACCUGGGGUCCAUGACGGUACCGUAAGAAUAAGCACCGGCUAACUACGUGCCAGCCGCCGCAGUAAUAC
rnacentral:rRNA from 1 species